UACAGAGGGGGCAAGCGUUAUUCGGAAUUAUUGGGCGUAAAGGGCUCGUAGGCGGCCAACUAAGUCAGACGUGAAAUCCCUCGGCUUAACCGGGGAACUGCAUCUGAUACUGGAUGGCUUGAGAUUGGGAGAGGGAUGCGGAAUUCCAGGUGUAGCGGUGAAAUGCGUAGAUAUCUGGAGGAACACCGGUGGCGAAGGCGGCAUCCUGGACCAACACUGACGCUGAGGAGCGAAAGCCAGGGGAGCAAACGGG
rnacentral:rRNA from 1 species